CUAACACAUGCAAGUCGAGCGGUAGCACAAGAGAGCUUGCUCUCUGGGUGACGAGCGGCGGACGGGUGAGUAAUGUCUGGGAAACUGCCUGAUGGAGGGGGAUAACUACUGGAAACGGUAGCUAAUACCGCAUAACGUCUACGGACCAAAGUGGGGGACCUUCGGGCCUCACGCCAUCAGAUGUGCCCAGAUGGGAUUAGCUAGUAGGUGGGGUAAUGGCUCACCUAGGCGACGAUCCCUAGCUGGUCUGAGAGGAUGACCAGCCACACUGGAACUGAGACACGGUCCAGACUCCUACGGGAGGCAGCAGUGGGGAAUAUUGCACAAUGGGCGCAAGCCUGAUGCAGCCAUGCCGCGUGUGUGAAGAAGGCCUUAGGGUUGUAAAGCACUUUCAGCGAGGAGGAAGGGUUCAGUGUUAAUAGCACUGUCCNUUGACAUUACUCGCAAAAGAAGCACCGGUUAACUCCGUGCUUNUAGCGGCGGUAAUAUAGAGGGUGCAAUCCUUGAUCGCAAUUAC
rnacentral:rRNA from 1 species